CCCUUAGAUGUUCUGGGCUGCACGCGCGCUACACUGAUGCACUCAACGAGUUUUCGACCUUGUCCGAGAGGAUUGGGUAAUCUUUUUAAAAUGCAUCGUGAUGGGGAUAGAUUAUUGCAAUUAUUAAUCUUCAACGAGGAAUUCCUAGUAAGCGCGAGUCAUCAGCUCGUGCUGAUUACGUCCCUGCCCUUUGUACACACCGCCCGUCGCUACUACCGAUUGGGAAAAUUUUAGAGAGUCCUGGACUGAUGAUUGUUCGGCUUCACGGCCUUACUUUCGUCGGGAAAGAAUUCGAUAAUAUUUUUCUAGAGGAAGUAAAAGUCGUAACA
rnacentral:rRNA from 1 species